AACGAACGCUGGCGGCAUGCCUAACACAUGCAAGUCGAACGAGACCUUCGGGUCUAGUGGCGCACGGGUGCGUAACGCGUGGGAAUCUGCCCUUCGGUUGGGAAUAACUGAGAGAAAUUUCAGCUAAUACCUUAUAAUGUCUUCGGACCAAAGAUUUAUCGCUGAGGGAUGAGCCCGCGUAGGAUUAGGUAGUUGGUGGGGUAAUGGCCUACCAAGCCGACGAUCCUUAGCUGGUCUGAGAGGAUGAUCAGCCACACUGGGACUGAGACACGGCCCAGACUCCUACGGGAGGCAGCAGUGGGGAAUAUUGGACAAUGGGCGAAAGCCUGAUCCAGCAAUGCCGCGUGAGUGAUGAAGGCCUUAGGGUUGUAAAGCUCUUUUACCCGGGAUGAUAAUGACAGUACCGGGAGAAUAAGCUCCGGCUAACUCCGUG
rnacentral:rRNA from 1 species